CGUAUUCUGAGAUUUGUACCCAAAUCGAAUAUCGAAAGAGCUCAUGUGAGUAACAACCCAAAACACACAAUCCCACACACGUCAUAUAACCACCAACAAGGGGAUCAAAUGACUCGAAUAACAAGAUGACGUUUCAAAAUAAAAGUUCUUAGUAUUUAUUCUCAAAACAAGACGACAGCACUUAACCGACACAGGUAACAGAGAAAACAUUCUUAGUCAGAACCACGGUGGAGCAGGUUAGUACACAACCUGGAAACAAAGGACAUUUAUAAAAAGACAACAGAAGAAGAAAUGUUUUACAGUCAACUUUACAUUCAUGUCAACAUACAGGACAGAGGACGGGUCGUUAAAUAAUAGUUAAAACGCUAAUGUUCGGGAUUUGACGCAGGCUUCACAUUGUAACACCGUCUGACCUACGUGUGCAUUAAGGACGAGGAGUACAAAAGGAAAAAAACAACAACAGCACGGUUAAAAAUAAUAAAAACGUAACAUAAAAAGGAACUGAAGCUAAAAUUAUCUCCCAGGAAGUGGUGGUGGACUGGUUUGCGUCCCGGCUCUUUGAGGAACGAGCAUCACUGGGCUGCGCUCCUUUUAGAGCGGUUCCUUUUAGAGCCGUUCCUCAGGGGGGGGUCAGCGCUCAGAGCCGCUCACUGAUAGUUCACGUGCCCGUACCGGGGUAGGUGGCGGCGUUCUGCCCCCUGGUCGAGGUCGCCCCCGUAGCCCUGCUGCUGGGGGGGCUGCCAGGAUGCCUGGCCCGACCAACCUGGAGGGGGGGGUGAAGGUCAGUCUUUAUGAAGUCACAUCAGCAACAAACAUGCAUAUUUUAUUGUAUUUAUUUCAGCUCUUUAUUUGAGAGCUCAGAUCACUUGAAUGUUUAAGUGUUCUGUGCUCUCCUCGACCGAUAAACACAUCGAAUUAAUACAAUACAAUGGAACAAAAGUAAGUAGAAAUAACGAGUGAUAAUAUGAUCAAGUACAUAUUGAAUAGUUUAUAUAUGUACGGUAAAUAUACAUGGUGCAGUAUAAGUUAUUGAGUUGGCUGAUGGCUCAUGUGUUGGAAAGUUAAAAUUCACUGAGUACAAGUCUGGUGGGAGGCGCCUGGUUCAGGAGGCAGAGCAGGUUCACUGGUCACCAGAAGGUUGCUGGUUCGACCCCCGGCUCCUCCUAGCUGUGUCAGAGUGUCGAGGUGUCCCUGAGCGAGACGCCUCACCCUGACUGCUCCUGACCAGCUGGCUGUCGCCCUGCGGGGCUGACUCCGCCGUCGGUGUGUGAAUAUGUUUGUGAACCGCCACAGGUCGCUUUGGAUAACAGCGUCUGCUCAAUGCCCUCAAUCUAGAUGGGCCUCGGUGGGUCGAUCGGUCUAGAGUUCAGCAGCCGUGUGACUAUUGACUAUUGAUCAGGCAGCGUCAGCAGCCUUCGACUGACAGAGAGAACUCAACUCAUGAUUAUGAUUACCGGGGUCUCGUUCAGACCCCCCCCCC
ensembl:lncRNA